rnacentral:rRNA from 1 species
AUACGGAGGAUCCAAGCGUUAUCCGGAUUUAUUGGGUUUAAAGGGUGCGCAGGCGGCCUUAUAAGUCAGUGGUGAAAUCUCCCGGCUCAACCGGGAAACUGCCAUUGAUACUGUAAGGCUAGAAUACAGACGAGGUAGGCGGAAUGUAGCAUGUAGCGGUGAAAUGCUUAGAUAUGCUACAGAACACCGAUCGCGAAGGCAGCUUACCAGACUGUAAUUGACGCUAAGGCACGAAAGCGUGGGGAGCGAACAGGAUUAGAUACCCCAGUAGUCC